GUUCCGCCGGGCUCGGCGUUCAAGUUUCUGGAGCUACUUAACUUGCGUUUUGCUGUGAUGCUUCUGUGGCUCUGGUGUAAAAAAUCUUAGUUUCUUUGCCAGGGCGAUUUCGCAGACCGAAGGCAUUGCAAGUGCUGCAGCGGCCUUUCACCGGCGCCUGCGACUUUUUUUUUUUUUUUUAAUUUAGAAGUUGGGGGUGGGGGGUAGACUCUAACAGGGUCUGCAGAGCGGUUUUUAAAAAUUAACCAGAAAGAUUCUACGACGAAGAUGGGAUUUUUAGGAAGGGUUUUGAAACUGCAGUGACUUGUACGACUUCGGUGGGCGCUAAAAACUCAUGACUGAGCUACAAUUUCCCUAUUCAAGUCUUCCGAACUCUUCGUGGACAGGCUGAAAGUUUGCCGGGCUGUCAGACGUGACUGAACAAGCUUCUAAAUCCUCAGAUCAUUUAUAAAGCUCCAGUGUCCUUGGGGUGAAAGACUUUUCUGGGCUUUUAAAGCUCGGCUUCGUGGGUAAAUUUGCUUGGGUUGAUCUAACUGCAUGUAAGCAUUUAUUUCCCCACCUAGAUUAGUAUAAGGGCAGAAGAUUCCAGCACCGUCAGACAAAAGUCGAGUUUGUGGACGUCCUCUAAAAGAAAAAUUGCAACAGCUUUCUUCAUUAAACUCUUUUUGCUACAUCAGCAAAUUAGAGAGCCAGUUGAAUAUUGAUGAAUUCUUUGAGGGUCUCUUUUCCAUCCUCAAAGACAGCAGAAUCACUGCCUUCAAUGCUGCAGAGAUUUCUUCUUUAAACACGGCAUGUUUUCCUUGUUGGGUGUGUACUAUUAUUGUCUUAAUUAUUCCUGGAGUUUUGCCCAUUUAAAUCAAAGACUGUCUCAGAUGCCAGAACCGAUGGGACCUUGGCGCACAGGAAGGCCACGGUGAAGGGGCAGAGGGCGGCCUCAGUUCUGGUCCUACAGUGCUGGUCCUACAGUGUCCCUGUCCUGGAAGUGAGCAGGACCCCCUCUCCCUGGUGCAGAGUAUGAAGUGACAGAGCCAAGUGCAACGAGAGGAGUCAGGAGCCGAAAGCCCACCUUCUGUGUGCAAGACCAGGAGUGCACGUGCCACUUGCUUUCACCAGAAGCGUUAUGAUCAUCAGUUUUUAACCUUACGCCUCAGGCACUUUCCUUGAGCCUUCCCUGAUUAUGAAAAAGAGAGAAGAAAAAAGAACUCAGUUGAGAUCAAUGCCAACAUGUCAAAUGUAAUGGUGUUCAGGGAGGCUGAAGGGCAUUUGGACAUCUGGUUGCUC
rnacentral:lncRNA from 12 species